GACGAACGCUGGCGGCGUGCCUAAUACAUGCAAGUCGAACGCUGAAGGAGGAGCUUGCUCUUCUGGAUGAGUUGCGAACGGGUGAGUAACGCGUAGGUAACCUGCCUGGUAGCGGGGGAUAACUAUUGGAAACGAUAGCUAAUACCGCAUAACAGUAGAUGUUGCAUGACAUUUACUUAAAAGGUGCAAUUGCCUCACUACCAGAUGGACCUGCGUUGUAUUAGCUAGUUGGUGGGGUAACGGCUCACCAAGGCGACGAUACAUAGCCGACCUGAGAGGGUGAUCGGCCACACUGGGACUGAGACACGGCCCAGACUCCUACGGGAGGCAGCAGUAGGGAAUCUUCGGCAAUGGACGGAAGUCUGACCGAGCAACGCCGCGUGAGUGAAGAAGGGUUUCGGAUCGUAAAGCUCUGUUGUAAGAGAAGAACGAGUGUGAGAGUGGAAAGUUCACACUGUGACGGUAGCUUACCAGAAAGGGACGGCUAACUACGUG
rnacentral:rRNA from 1 species